rnacentral:rRNA from 1 species
GAUGAACGCUGGCGGUAUGCUUAACACAUGCAAGUCGAACGGACUCUUCGGAGUUAGUGGCGGACGGGUGAGUAACGCGUGAGAAUCUGGCUUUGGGUUCGGGACAACCACUGGAAACGGUGGCUAAUACCGGAUGUGCCGAGAGGUAAAAGAGAAAUUGCCUGAAGAUGAGCUCGCGUCUGAUUAGCUAGUUGGUGAGGUAAAGGCUCACCAAGGCAGCGAUCAGUAGCUGGUCUGAGAGGAUGACCAGCCACACUGGGACUGAGACACGGCCCAGACUCCUACGGGAGGCAGCAGUGGGGAAUUGUCCGCAAUGAGCGAAAGCCUGACGAAGCAAUACCGCGUGAGGGAAGAAGGCUCUUGGGUUGUAAACCUCUUUUCUUAGGGAAGAACAAAAUGACGGUACCUAAGGAAUCAGCAUCGGCUAACUCCGUG